rnacentral:rRNA from 1 species
AGAGUUUGAUCCUGGCUCAGAACGAACGCUGGCGGCAGGCCUAACACAUGCAAGUCGAGCGCACCCUUCGGGGCGAGCGGCGGACGGGUUAGUAACGCGUGGGAACAUACCCUUUGGUACGGAAUAGCCUCGGGAAACUGAGAGUAAUACCGUAUGUGCCCUUCGGGGGAAAGAUUUAUCGCCAAAGGAUUGGCCCGCGUUAGAUUAGAUAGUUGGUGGGGUAAUGGCCUACCAAGUCUACGAUCUAUAGCUGGUUUUAGAGGAUGAUCAGCAACACUGGGACUGAGACACGGCCCAGACUCCUACGGGAGGCAGCAGUGGGGAAUCUUAGACAAUGGGCGCAAGCCUGAUCUAGCCAUGCCGCGUGUGUGAUGAAGGCCUUAGGGUCGUAAAGCACUUUCGCCAGGGAUGAUAAUGACAGUACCUGGUAAAGAAACCCCGGCUAACUCCGUGCCAGCAGCCGCGGUAAUA